CGUAGGUGGCAAGCGUUAUCCGGAUUUACUGGGCGUAAAGGGUGUGCAGGCGGGGUUGCAAGUGGUGUAUGAAAUCUCCAGGCUUAACCUGGAGGGGUUAUGCCAGACUGCAGUUCUAGGAGGACGAGAGAGGGGGGUGGAAUUCCGGGUGUAGUGGUGAAAUGCGUAGAGAUCCGGAGGAACCCCAGAGGCGAAGGCGGCCCCCCUGGCUCGUACCUGACGCUCAGCCACGAAAGCAUGGGGAGCGAACGGGAUUAGAAACCCCGGUAGUCCAUGCCGUAAACGAUGCAAACUAGGCGCUGACGGUCUCAACCCCGCCGGUGCCGCAGCUAACGCGAUAAGUUUGCCGCCUGGGGAGUACGGUCGCAAGGACUA
rnacentral:rRNA from 1 species